rnacentral:rRNA from 1 species
AGCGGAGGAAAAGAAACCAACAGGGAUUGCCUCAGUAACGGCGAGUGAAGCGGCAAGAGCUCAAAUUUGAAAGCUGGCCCCUUCGGGGUCCGCGUUGUAAUUUGCAGAGGAUGCUUCGGGUGCAGCCCCCGUCUAAGUGCCCUGGAACGGGCCGUCAUAGAGGGUGAGAAUCCCGUCUGGGACGGGGUGUCUGCGUCCGUGUGAAGCUCCUUCGACGAGUCGAGUUGUUUGGGAAUGCAGCUCUAAAUGGGUGGUAAAUUUCAUCUAAAGCUAAAUACUGGCCGGAGACCGAUAGCGCACAAGUAGAGUGAUCGAAAGAUGAAAAGCACUUUGAAAAGAGAGUUAAACAGCACGUGAAAUUGUUGAAAGGGAAGCGUUUGCGACCAGACUCGCCCGCGGGGUUCAGCCGGCAUUCGUGCCGGUGUACUUCCCCGUGGGCGGGCCAGCGUCGGUUUGGGCGGCCGGUCAAAGGCCCUCGGAAUGUAUCACCUCUCGGGGUGUCUUAUAGCCGAGGGUGCAAUGCGGCCUGCCCGGACCGAGGAACGCGCUUCGGCUCGGACGCUGGCGUAAUGGUCGUAAAUGACCCGUCUUGAAACACGGACCAAGGAGUCUAACAUCUACGCGAGUGUUCGGGUGUCAAACCCGUACGCGCAGUGAAAGCGAACGGAGGUGGGAGCCCCCUCGCGGGGCGCACCAUCGACCGAUCCUGAUGUCUUCGGAUGGAUUUGAGUACGAGCGUAGCUGUGGGGACCCGAAAGAUGGUGAACUAUGCCUGAAUAGGGCGAAGCCAGAGGAAACUCUGGUGGAGGCUCGCAGCGGUUCUGACGUGCAAAUCGAUCGUCAAAUUUGGGUAUAGGGGCGAAAGACUAAUCGAACCAUCUAGUAGCUGG